GUGGGGAAUCUUAGACAAUGGGCGCAAGCCUGAUCUAGCCAUGCCGCGUGAUCGAUGAAGGCCUUAGGGUUGUAAAGAUCUUUCAGUGGGGAAGAUAAUGACUGUACCCACAGAAGAAGCCCCGGCUAACUCCGUGCCAGCAGCAGCGGUAAUACGGAGGGGGCUAGCGUUGUUCGGAAUUACUGGGCGUAAAGCGCACGUAGGCGGAAUAGAAAGUCAGAGGUGAAAUCGCAGGGCUCAACCUUGGAACUGCAUUUGAAACUCCUGUUCUUGAGUUCGAGAGAGGUGAGUGGAAUUCCGAGUGUAGAGGUGAAAUUCGUAGAUAUUAGGAAGAACACCAGUGGCGAAGGCGGCUCACUGGUCUGGUACUGACGCUGAGGUGCGAAAGCGUGGGGAGCAAACAGGAUUAGAAACCCCUGUAGUCC
rnacentral:rRNA from 1 species